UCCCCGGCCCCGGGCUUUACACCCUCGGCUCUCGGGCAAAAAGUCCUGGGAGGGUUGGAGGGAGGGAAACUCGGCUGAAUAUUUAGGGAUGAAUUGAACUGUGCAAACACGCCUUUGGGAAGCUCGCGGUGCAGCGCCUUGGAUCAGCUGCCCGCCGGGGCUGGAACGCAACCGCUGCGCUUGAAAGGGCGACUUUCACGCUGAAGCAAAACGGGACAAAGGAAGAUAAAUGAAACGGGCUCCCGGCAGGGUUUGAUGAGCGUGGUAUAUCCUGAUGAUUUUCCAUGGAGCUGGCAGCAAAUCUGCCGAGAUUUGUCCAAGUGGGGACAUCCCAGGACCGGGCAAACUGUGGGUACGAGCGCUGAUGUGUCAGCCCUCUCCAUCCCAUCCAUCCCAUCCCAGGACAAGGAACAGCGCUCAUCUCCACCGUGUGCGUGCUCGGGGAUGGAUCCCUGCUGAGUGCAGAGCCUGCCCGUGGCUGAUCCCGUGAGAUGGACGUGAAUUCGGGAUUAGGGAUUGCAGGGUGGACACAGCCAGGCUGAUAUAGCAGCUCGUUUGAUUUUAAAGAUUAGAAGAUCCCCAUAGCAAGCCUCUUGAAAAUUCCCUUUCCCUCCGGAUUUUAGGCAAGCAGAUUUAACACCGCAACAUUUCUCUAGUGUGAGCUGAGUAAGCAAAAUUUAAUAAUCAGCUGCAUAAUAGUUUAGAUUAAAUCAAAGAGCAAGAGCAGCGUCGCCUUUAAAACAUUUGAAUAACAUUUAAUAUCCUCUGUAGCAUUUACUUUUCACAAGCCUCUGCAAAACCGCCAAAUGCUCACAGAAAUUUGGCAAACUGACUUCUGCACAAAUCCAGCCCCUCAGUUGAGCUGUUUGUUAGUCUCCACUUCGCAAAGUUUCACCCAAUCAACAACAACAAAAAAAAUCCCAACAAAACCCCAGACAGCGCCUCACGUGCUGGGGGCGACCAAAGAAAUCCCCUGAUUUGGGUGACCAAUGAAUGUCCCCAGCAGUGAAAAGCGAACAAUUUGUCGGCAGCCCCUGCACUUGAAAACGAAUGAUCCAAAUUAUUCAGUGAGUCUCCCUGGAUAGUGAAUCCAUUGAAAGGGGAUCGAGACAGAGUCAUAAAUUAUUCAUUACCCAGAAGAGAAUGAAAUGCAUAUAAUCAUAACAAUAAUAAUAACAACAACAAUCGUUACACUAAUAAUAGCAACCAGAGGCCAGGCAGCUCUGCCCGGAGAACCAGAGAGCCAUGAAACCUCCCAGACUUUAUUUUCCAUUUACCCCAGCCCCUAUUUAGAGCAGCUGUGUUAAAUAAAGGAAUGUGAAGUGGCUCGA